UACAGAGGGGGCAAGCGUUGUUCGGAAUUACUGGGCGUAAAGGGCGCGUAGGCGGCCCGCUAAGUCGAACGUGAAAUCCCCAGGCUCAACCUGGGAACUGCGUCCGAUACUGGCAGGCUUGAAUCCGGGAGAGGGAUGUGGAAUUCCAGGUGUAGCGGUGAAAUGCGUAGAUAUCUGGAGGAACACCGGUGGCGAAGGCGGCAUCCUGGACCUGUAUUGACGCUGAGGCGCGAAAGCUAGGGGAGCAAACGGG
rnacentral:rRNA from 1 species